UCAAUGGGUUUUCAUUCAUGUACCGAUUAAUAUCUCAUCAUGUUCUUUUCCUCUUGACUUCCAUAACGUAUCAUUCAUAAACCCUUGAUGCCUUUCUCUUCUCUCAACAACAGCAGACGGUAUUCCCAAUCGAUAUGUAAUUUUGCCUGCUAAUCAGGAAAAAAACGCUCAUCCUUGCAUAAAAUGAUUCGCAAGGGUGAUGAGAUUUAUUGAUGCGGAUAUCCAGAGUCUUAUCCCUAAAUCUUUCACUUUCCGGUUUUCCCCAUCUUACCUUGAACAAUUGUUUCCGGAGAUGUUUGUCAGCUAUAAAAUUGGACAAUUCAUUUUUCUUUCUAGGCAUCAAGAUUUUGAAGAGGUUGCCAAGUGGUCAUUGAUGUGUUUUCCAUGAAAGGGAAAAUGUCUUCAAGAUACUGCACUUUUCUUUAUGCUACUUCGAGUUUCAUUUUUUUUCAAUCCAAAUUCUGUAAAGAGAUGUCAGCAAAUCCUGAUUGAAGAUGUAUCUUUACAAGAGUUUCAGAUAACAAAAGAGGAUGUGCUUUGAAAAUUUAGCUGAUGACUAUAAUUACGUGGGGUCAUUUUGAUGCAAACCAAAAGAAAGCUCAAUAGGCUUUAGAAGGCAUAUUGCUAGGUACUACAUUAUGAAGAAAAAAAGGUUUGGUGAUCUGUCGCCUGUACUUUUAUUUUACUUUAUUUGGUCAUUGUGUAUAGCUGUGUUGCUGGAUACAAACUAUGUCUGAAUUCCGAUUAGGUUGGUUUUGUUUCUUCAAAGGGAUAUGUCAAGACGAUGAGCAAUGUUGAGAAACAUCAAAUUGAAGUUCCUUAAUUUCGAGGUCAACACAAAAAUUGAAAGAAGAAAAGGUUUGGUGAUCUGUCACCUGUACUUUUAUUUUACUGUAUUUGGUCAUUGUCUAUAGCUGUGUUGCUGGAUACAAACUAUGUCUGAAUUCGAUUAGGUUGGUUUUGUUUCUUCAAAGGGAUAUGUCAAGACAAUGAGCAUCAUUCGCCAAUGUGCGCAAGUAUACUCAAUUUAGUUUAUUUGUGAUGAGUCAGCAUUGGAGUCAGCAUUGUCUAAAAAAAUUUCUUUUAUGGUCUGUAAUGUCGUAUUGUUUAGAGAGUAUUCUGUUCACCUGCUUUUAUUUUCUUACACUGUAAAUAUGUCCAGCUGAACUUUACAGAGAGAAAUCAGAAGAAUCAACUUGGUUUUGUAGUUAUGGCCAUCAACCACAACCUGAUAGAACAUAUGUAUUGAGACAGAACUUAUAAAGCUGUAGCAUGGAACACAAUAUAGCGAGGCAGUUUGAUGACAAAUUCAUGCCAGAAACUGGAAGGCUAUGUUUAUGCCCAAUAGAGACCAUUUGUGCAAUAGAAGAUGGUUGUCGUUAGUGAACGGUGCUGAUCAGAACUAUAUUUUCACCUGCUUUUCAGGUUCAUAUAUGAAAAACCCUUUCAAUAAAUUUAUACAAUUUCCUUUCUUUCUUUUUCAAGCUUAAGCUUAUUAUAG